GAUGAACGCUGGCGGCGUGCUUAACACAUGCAAGUCGAACGAAGCACUUUAUUUGAUUUCCUUCGGGACUGAUUAUUUUGUGACUGAGUGGCGGACGGGUGAGUAACGCGUGGGUAACCUGCCUUGUACAGGGGGAUAACAGUUGGAAACGGCUGCUAAUACCGCAUAAGCGCACAGCAUCGCAUGAUGCAGUGUGAAAAACUCCGGUGGUAUAAGAUGGACCCGCGUUGGAUUAGCUAGUUGGUGAGGUAACGGCCCACCAAGGCGACGAUCCAUAGCCGACCUGAGAGUGUGACCGGCCACAUUGGGACUGAGACACGGCCCAAACUCCUACGGGAGGCAGCAGUGGGGAAUAUUGCACAAUGGGCGAAAGCCUGAUGCAGCGACGCCGCGUGAGCGAAGAAGUAUUUCGGUAUGUAAAGCUCUAUCAGCAGGGAAGAUAAUGACGGUACCUGACUAAGAAGCACCGGCUAAAUACGUGC
rnacentral:rRNA from 1 species